GAAAUGCGAUAAGUAAUGUGAAUUGCAGAAUUCAGUGAAUCAUCGAAUCUUUGAACGCACCUUGCGCUCCUUGGUAUUCCUUGGAGCAUGCCUGUUUGAGUAUCAUGAAAUCUUCAAAGUAAAUCUUUUGUUAACUCAAUUGGUUUCUACUUUGGUAUUGGAGGUCUUUGCAGCUUCACACCUGCUCCUCUUUGUUCAUUAGCUGGAUCUCAGUGUUAUGCUUGGUUCCACUCGGCGUGAUAAGUUAUCUAGCGCUGAGGACACUGUAAAAGGUGGCCAAGGUAAAUGCAGAUGAACCGCUUCUAAUAGUCCAUUGACUUGGACAAUACUUUUAUGAUCUGAUCUCAAAUCAGGUAGGACUACCCGCUGAACUUAAGC
rnacentral:misc_RNA from 1 species